rnacentral:rRNA from 1 species
GGGGGGGGCAAGCGUUGUUCGGAAUUACUGGGCGUAAAGGGUUCGUAGGUGGCUUACUAAGUCAAACGUGAAAUCCCUCAGCUUAACUGGGGAACUGCGUCUGAUACUGGUGAGCUUGAGGACAGGAGAGGAACGCGGAAUUCCAGGUGUAGCGGUGAAAUGCGUAGAUAUCUGGAGGAACACCGGUGGCGAAGGCGGCGUUCUGGACUGUUUCUGACACUGAGGAACGAAAGCCAGGGGAGCAAACGGGAUUAGAUACCCCGGUAGUCCUGGCCCUAAACGAUGAAUGCUUGGUGUGGCGGGUAUCGAUCCCUGCCGUGCCGCAGUUAACGCGUUAAGCAUUCCGCCUGGGGAGUACGGUCGCAAGGCUG